AAAGAGUCGUCUGGGUGAGGCAGCUUCGGAGGCACCAAACACCACAUGCAGAAAGGGUCUCGGAGGCUCCUGAAGGCUACUUUCAUUAUUGAUGGAAACCGAAAGCAGCAGCUGCGGGAUUUCUUUGUUGGAGGCUCCUGACGUUCACUGGACCCAGCACUCACCACCAAGGCUGAACAUGCUCCCUUUUCCAACAGGAGCUGCCUGUGAUCCGAUUGAGUUCAGUUGGCCAUCUGAGGUGCUAAAAUCUCAACACCAACGAAGCAAGUGUGCAUAGAAACAAACGAUAAAACACAACCAAACAGAAGAAAACAGGCUGGAACAGAGUUGGGUUUUUUUACAGACAUGUAAAACUUCAGCUUCUGGAACCAACACACUUAUCAAAAGGCUUCCGAGUGCUUCACACCAAAUCUCUGCAUGCUGUCGCACCCUUCGGAGGUUUCCCCUUCAACAUCUUCCUAUCCAUGUAAUUCUGGCGAACUCAGGGUAGGCCAACUGGACAACACAGACCAGCAGAGGUAAAUGUGUUAAGCUCAGGACCAGUUUAAGCUAAAACCUUUGGAAAGCAUGACUGCCUCCAGGUCCUUGUCUUCUUCUUUUUCUCGAAGCCGCUGCUCCUCAAGAAGAGCCACGAGAGAAUCUCUCUGCUCCACUACUUCUAGCAUCUCAUUCAGGAUCCUCUUCUCCUCUGCGAGCUCCUCAUCUGUCUUCAGAUGAUCUACAGAGAUACCAAAAACUGUCAGCAUAGACGAGGCCAGAAACAUGCACGUACAAUCUAUGAAAUGUUCCCUUUUGCUCUCACCUUCUACUGCCAUCCUCUCCCGAAGCUCCUGCUGUAACCGACUCUGCCUGUCUUCCAGUUCCAGC